rnacentral:rRNA from 1 species
AGCAUUUAUGUUAGGACCCGAAAGAUGGUGAACUAUGCCUGAGUAGGGCAAAGUCAGAGGAAACUCUGAUGGAGGCUCGAAGGGGUUCUGACGUGCAAAUCGAUCUUCAAACUUGGGUAUAGGGGCGAAAGACUAAUCGAACCAUCAAGUAGCUGGUUCCCUCCGAAGUUUCCCUCAGGAUAGCUGGAACUUAUGAAGAAGUAGUUUUAUCAGGUAAAGCGAAUGAUUAGAGGCUUUGGGGAAGAAACUUCCUCGACCUAUUCUCAAACUUUAAAUAGGUAAGAUUUGAAGGAUACUUAGGUGAUCUUUCAAUCUUUUGAAUAUAAAGUUCUUAGUUGGGCCAUUUUUGGUAAGCAGAACUGGCGAUGUGGGAUGAACCGAACGUUAAGUUAAAGUGCCAAAUAAUACGCUCAUGAGAUACCAUAAAAGGUGUUGGUUCAUUUUUGACAGCAGGACGGUGGCCAUGGAAGUCGGAACCCGCUAAGGAGUGUGUAACAACUCACCUGCCGAAUGAACUAGCCCUGAAAAUGGAUGGCGCUUAAGCGUAU